UACGUAGGGUCCGAGCGUUGUCCGGAAUUAUUGGGCGUAAAGGGCUCGUAGGCGGUCUGUUGCGUCGGGAGUGAAAACUUACAGCUUAACUGUGAGCGUGCUUUCGAUACGGGCAGACUUGAGGCAUUCAGGGGAGAACGGAAUUCCUGGUGUAGCGGUGAAAUGCGCAGAUAUCAGGAGGAACACCUAUAGCGAAGGCAGCUUGCUGGGACGUUACUGACGCUAAGGCGCGAAAGCGUGGGGAGCGAACAGG
rnacentral:rRNA from 1 species